CACAGCUCUCGGCAAUGCCAGAUCCUUAACCCACUGAGUGAGGCUGGGGAUCAAACCCACAUCCUCACGGAUCCUCGUCAGGUUCCUUAUCAUUCAGCCACAAGGGGAACUCCCCCAUCUCAUUUUCUACGAGUUGGUGUCUGGAAUAGAACUGACCACCUGCACUGUUUUAGUGCCUGUUACACAGCAGAGCGACUCCCUAUUUCUACACACACCUGACCCCCCCAUUUGCCUUCAGGCCCUCAGGCCUCCUGUUGGCUCAGAAAAAUCACACGAGUCUGCAGAGCUGCAAAGUACUGGUGAAUACAUUCCCCCACUGUUCUUCCACGUUUGCAGUAGAAGAGACACAGCACCGGGUUAGCCUCACGUGUCCAGCAUGGCCAUGUGACUUACAUCGUGAGAUGACGGCUAGAACGAUUUUAGGGAACGUCCAUCAUAUCCUGGCGAAACCCAAUUCAACACUGAGGAAAAAAAACUUUCCCAUUGUGAUGAGAACUUUUAAGGUUGACCUUGAAUAAACCUGCUCUACAGUGUCCGGCCGUGUAGGUUAAAUGUACCCUGUUGGCCGUCACACCCCUAGGACUGAGUCAUCCUCUAACUGGAGGGGUCCCUUUGCACCAACUUCCCCCAGUUCCCCCGCCUCCCGUGACCACAAGGCUCAUCUUCUUCUCUGCCUCUCACUUGAAUGGUGUUGGCUUUUGGUCUUGGCUGUUACUUGGAAGGGAGCUUUCUUCCAGAGGCUUGGGCUUGGCUCAGGAGGCUGCGCUGUCCUGCUUCUGUCCCUGAGACACUGUCAGCAGAUGGUUUCCUCUGGGGCUGAGGGUCCUUCUUGACUGGUUUCUGCUCCAGCUGAGAGGGAGGAGGGGUGAGGCCAGAGUGAGGGAAUGAGCAGUGUCGUGUUCAUAUGCGUGAGGGACCCUGCUUCCUCCUCCUGCAGGAGGACAAUUCUGGGCACGAGUUGGAAGCCCCCAGAGGGGACGGGUGACCCCACAAGGGAAACCCCUGUCCACACUUCCUGACAACACAAGAAGGAGAUUCAAAGUGAAAGAGGCAAAACGUUCUUCUCCUUGUGAUAAGAACUCUCAGGACUGGCUCUCAACACCCUUGGUGCAUAAGGUCCUCAGGCCUCCUGUUGGGUCUGAAAAGUCACAAGUCUGCAGAGCUGCAAAGUACUGGUGAACAUAUUCCCCCACUUUUCUUCCACGUUUGCAGUAGAAGAGACACAGCACCGGGUUAGCCUCACGUGUCCAGCAUGGUCAUGUGACUUACAUCGUGAGAUGAUGGCUAGAACAAUUUUAGGGAACAUCCAUCAUUUCCUGGAAAACGAUUCAAGACAUAAAAAAAACCCUUUUUUCCUUGUGAUGAGAACUCUUAAGGUUGACUUUGAAUAAACUUGCUCUAAGGUGUCCAGCCGUGUAGGUUACACGUAUCCUGUUGGCCGUCACACCCCUAGGACUCGGUCAUCCUCUAACUGGAGGGGGUCCCUUUGCACCAGCUUCCCCCAGUUCCCCACCUCCUGUGACGACAAGGCUCAUCUUGUUCUCUGCCUCUCACUUGAAUGCUGUUGGCUUUGGGUCUUGGCUGUUACUUGGAAGGGAGCUUUCUUCCAGAGGCUUGGGCUUGGCUCAAGAGGCUGCACCGUCCUGCCUGUGUCCCUGAGAUGCUGUCUGCAGACGGUUUCCUCUGGGGCUGUGAGUCCUUCUUGACUGGGUUCUGCUCCAGCUGAGAGGCAGGAGGGGUGAGGCCAGAUUCUGGGACCCAGCAGUGUCGUGUUCAUAUGCCUGAGGGACCCUGCUUCCUCCU